UCCGAGUUGUCCCCGGCGGUCCCCUUAGAGUCCCCGGCAUUACCCGCUGGCAACUAAGAGCAGGGGUUGCGCUCGUUGCGGCACUUAAGCCAACACCUCACGGCACGAGCUGACGACAGCCAUGUAGCACCUGUGUUCCCGCCAGCCGAACUGAAGGACCCCGUCUCCGAGGCCCAUACGGGACAUGUCAAGGGUUGGUAAGGUUCUGCGCGUUGCUUCGAAUUAAGCCACGCGCUCCGCCGCUUGUGCGGGCCCCCGUCAAUUCCUUUGAGUUUUAGCCUUGCGGCCGUACUCCCCAGGCGGGGCGCUUAAUGCGUUAGCUACGGCACGGAUCCCGUGGAAGGAAACCCACACCUAGCGCCCACCGUUUACGGCGUGGACUAC
rnacentral:misc_RNA from 1 species